UGAAGAACGUAGCGAAAUGCGAUACCUGGUGUGAAUUGCAGAAUCCCGCGAACCAUCGAGUCUUUGAACGCAAGUUGCGCCCGAGGCCAUUCGGCCGAGGGCACGCCUGCCUGGGCGUCACGCAAAACACGCUCCCACCCCCUCAUCGGGGAGCGGGAUGCGGCAUGUGGCCCCCCGUCGCGCAAGGGGCGGUGGGCCGAAGAUAUGGCUGCCGGCGUAUCGUGCCGGACACAGCGCGUGGUGGGCGAACUCGUUUUACUUACCGAUGCAUCCGGCGCGUAA
rnacentral:misc_RNA from 1 species